UACGGAGGGUGCAAGCGUUAUCCGGAUUCACUGGGUUUAAAGGGUGCGUAGGUGGGUUGGUAAGUCCGUGGUGAAAUCCCCAAGCUUAACUUGGGAACUGCCGUGGAUACUAUCAAUCUUGAAUAUCGUGGAGGUAAGCGGAAUAUGUCAUGUAGCGGUGAAAUGCUUAGAUAUGACAUAGAACACCGAUAGCGAAGGCAGCUUGCUACACGAUCAUUGACACUGAGGCACGAAAGCGUGGGGAGCGAACAGG
rnacentral:rRNA from 1 species